ACUUUCAGCUCAGACACAAGACAGGUGAAUGCCUUCAUCAUGACUGCCAGAGAGGGAGGAGGCCAACCUGGCACCACCAUGGAGGUCCUCAAAUCUACCACCCUGGCAGAGGCGAGCUGUGAGAUGGCCCUGGCUUUUGUGGGACCACCUUCUGAAGGUCAUCUGGAACUGGAUGAGAAGUGCUCAAGGAUAUAAGGUUAGGAGCAGUUUCUCCAAGAAACUCCCUCAUAAAACCACAGGAAGAUGGUGUUUGAGCUAGUUUUGAUGGAGACACUUAAGCUCUUGAGAAACUGGAUUAUUUCCUGGAAGGGGAAACAGGACCACUGCAGAGAGGCCUGAGUGAAUUUCACUCCCUGGCUCCAGCCUCAUCUGCUGCUGCAGGUUGACCUGGAGCCUGGAGUCCUUCUGUGGGGCUUACAGUGCAGCCAGCACUGCCCGAAGCUGUAGACACUUAGGGAAGGGGUGAGUACUACCAAGGUGAGGACUACUUAGGCAGCCUUGUGUUGUGAGUAGACUAAGCAGCAGAAAUGCUACAGAGUGGGCCAGGCCCAGGGGUGAAGAAGCAACAAAUCAGUGGAAUGUUUGCAAUGUUUUGGUCUUAGGAAUUAUACCAGGCCUCAAAGUCACAAAGCCUCUCUGUGGUCGAACGCCAGCCAGCCCUCACACAGGCAUAUGGUGGUGUGGGGAGAUGCUGGGAUCCAUGUGGCAAGCUCCUGACCACACAUCAACAGAGGGGUCAAAGACCCUCUGUGUCAGACUUGAGGAACUUGUAGAGAGUCAUAAGCUGGGUAAAUACAAUUUUGAAAAUCAGGCCUAGGGGAGUGUUUAUAGCAAAAUAGCAAGAAGAAAAAUUUAGGCUUCACCAGCAACCGGGAAGGCUCCUAGAUUCUCCUUGACUGUGGAGGAAAAGGUUGAAAGGAAGACCAAGUGGCCGUAUAUGAAAAGCAGGUUCCCCUGAUCUGCCUGGGCAGUUUCAUCCCUGCAGAGCUGGGAUGAAUGACAAAUUCAAAACCUCUCUUUACACGUGGAUUUGAACAAGAAAUCUCCAGGAAGCAGGUUUGAAGAGAUGGGAUCCAGACACCUCCUAAGCCUCUUGUUUUCAAAUUUGUCUGCAUGUUGGAAUCACCUGGCCAUCUUUUUAAAACUGCUGAUGCCUGUAUGUGCCCCCUCCUCCCAAGAUUCUGAUUUCAUUGGCUCAGGGUGAAGCCUCAGCAUCAUAAUUUUUUUUUUUUAAUAGAGUCUUGCCCUGUUGCCCAGGCUGGAGUGCAGUGGUGCAAUCUCGGCUCACUGCAACCUCUGCCUCCCAGGUUCAGGCAAUUCUCAUGCCCCAGCCUCCUGAGUAGCUGGAAAUGCAGGUGCACACCACCACACCCAGCUAAUUUUUUGUAUUUUUAGUGGAGAUAGGGUUUCACCAUGUUGACCAGGCUGAUCUCGAACUCCUGAGCUCAGGCAAUCCACCUGCCUCAGACUCCCAAAGUGCUGAGAUUACAGGCGUAGCCACCACACCUGGCCAGCAUCAUGAGUUUUAAAGGCUUCCCAGGUGAGUCUGAUAUGUGGCAAAGUCUGAGAACCACCAACCUAGGCAAUCUAAUCAGAAAAGAUUUCCACAGAUGUACUGAUGAUAUUAACUAUUGGUACUUGGGGUACGUUUUAAUUAAGUUAUAGCUAGGAAUGAUAAUGGCUAAUGUGAAUCACUAUGAAAGAUAUUUUUUAAACAAAGACUAUAGACUGAAAAAUAAAAAGAUAUGCAAAUUAUGCAAAAGCAAACACAAAACAAUGUUAUAGUGUGUGUGUAUGUGUGCGUGUGCACAUGUGCACCUGACUGUAACUGCACACUAUAAGCACUCUGAGAUUGGGCUGGUUGUCAAUGAAGACUUCAGCAUUACAUGUAAGAGAAUAUAUUGAUGUGUUACUUUGUAAUUAUAAAUAAAGUAGAUUUUAUAAUUCAUUGUUUUGGGUUUGUUUCUAAAAGAGAUUAUUCCUUUUGGGCCAUAGCCUCCAGGUGGAGAAAGGAGACUGCACUAAGAAUGGGCCGAGUCAUCAGACAGCUGAAGAUAAUAUAGGAAAAUGGAAAUAAACAAGGAGUAACUUAAUUUUAUCCCAGACUUUGGCAUACGCCCAAAACAAGAAGUCAUUCUCUCUCCUAAAAGAAGGGGCACUAUUUGUACCUUUAGAGACUGUCUUGUUCUGAAUAAUUUUUCCCAUCUGUUUUGUGGGAGAGAUACAAGCUGAUUUUUCCCCCAACCAUCAUGGAGAUUUUAUUUUAAUUCAGGCACAAUUGAAGUGACUAAACAAAGUGCAGGAAAACUUCUUGAGGUUGCAAGAGUGAGCAAAAAUAUGGCAAAGGGACCUUAAUAUAUAUACAGGUAAGAUCAUAAAUUAUAAGGAAGUUUUCUAAAAUGAUUGCACAGAAUGAUGGGUUCUGGGAUAUUCGUUAUUGCCAAGAAAGAGUACCUUGAAGACAUUGUAGACUACAGAACUGGAAGUGGCCCAAAGAUGCAUAAGAAAAAUAAUAAUAAUAACAAAAGUCACUUAUUGAGUGGUUAUAAUAUUCCAGCUUACCAUUUUAAGCACCUUGCUUUAAUUAUUUUAUUUUAUCCUUAUAAGGCAAUAUACUAUGAUCAGCCUGAUUUUACAAAUGAAUAUGAGAUUAAAUAAUUUAUCCAAGGUCACAUGUCUCAUAAGAGACAGUGCGGUGCCCUAUCAAGGCACUUAACCUCUGGGCUAACCACUGCUCUUAGCAGUAAGGGUGAUGUUUCCCCAAGUAGACACUAGAAACAACAGGCAUGAUACCAGCAACAAUGGCAAAAAGAUUCCAUGGUCAGAUUUACAGGGUAAAACUCUUACUAAGGACAUGUCUGUAAUAUGCUAAUGUAAAUUAAGAAAAUAAAGGAGAUGGCGAUCACAUGAUUUGACUUUAGAGUUUUAUUUUUACAGAUGAAAGUGUGAAGUAUGCUGUGGAAAAUGCUGUUUCAGGUUGGUUUCCUUAUGGAGACGAUAAAAUGAAUUUUCUGGGAGGGGUAAUGAUUGAGAGGAUCUGGUGGUGAUGGACCUGCAUGACCCUAAAGAGACUCAGCUGGAGGGAGGUCUGAGGCUGAAUUUGGGGAGCAUGAGUGGCUGACAAAGAAAGACAGCACAGAAAUAGGGAACAGAGAGGAGGCCAAACUGGAAAAAUCAAAGCAGAACUGUGACCAACACAAGGAAGUGGCUCAGCAGUCAGCAGAUGGGAUGUAAGUAGAUACAAGGAGGGAAUUAAGCACUAAGGCAGAACUGAGUUUCUUGAACAAUGACAAAAGGUGGGGCAGGGGCAUCAGGAACAGGUUCAAAGUUUACACAUAAAAAUUGGGCUCAGAGUCAGGACUAAUAAGAGGCAAGCUUGGCAUCUCGGAGUUCCAGAAAGAAAGGAAGUACUAAAAGCAAAAAACAAAAAAACCCUACAUUGACAGUGGUAUGUCAAAAGGCCACAGGAACCAACUGAAAGAGCUCCCAAUGGCCAAAGCUGGAACAAUUUGAGCAACAAAACAAAGUAGUACUGAAUUAUAACCCAAAGUAUAAAAUAAAUAUCCAUAUAUCCACACUGAUAUUAAUAAGUGAUUAGAUAAAUUAAUAAAUGGGGAGGACAGACAAAUCUCCCAUGCAGAAGAAUUCUGAAGAAUUUAUGUAGAUACUCCAUGCUCAAGGUAGGAGAACAUAAAUCCUCACUCCUU
rnacentral:lncRNA from 1 species